GCAUAUCAAUAAGCGGAGGAAAAGAAACUAACAAGGAUUCCCCUAGUAACGGCGAGUGAAGAGGGAAGAGCUCAAAUUUUAAAUCUGCCUUGUUUUCAAGGUCGAGUUGUAAUUUGAAGAAGCGUUUUCUUGGGCUCGCGGCCGGUAGAAGUUCUUUGGAACAGGACAUCAUAGAGGGUGACAAUCCCGUCUGCGACCGGUCGUGCGUUCAUCUACGAUACGCUUUCAAAGAGUCGAGUUGUUUGGGAUUGCAGCUCCAACUGGGUGGUAAACAUCACCUAAGGCUAAAUAUUGGCGAGAGACCGAUAGCGAACAAGUACCGUGAGGGAAAGAUGAAAAGAACUUUGAAAAGAGAGUUAAACAGUACGUGAAAUUGUUGAAAGGGAAACGAUUGAAGUCAGUCGUGCUGGCGCGAAAUCAACCUUCUCGUCGAGAGAUCACGUGGCGUGGCGAGCCUCAAAACCGUCACGAAGCGUGAACUCUUUGUGAAAUGGAGCACUUUCGUGUCCGCUGGUUAACAUCGAUUUCGAACGUCAUAAAAAGGCUGGAGGGGAUGUGGCUCCUUCGGGAGUGUUAUAACCUUUAGCGGAAUGUGGUGGUCGGGAUUGAGGAUUGCAACGAAUACCUUUAGGGCUGUUCCACCUGGCUUCUCUUUGGUAUCCUGGUGACAGACAGCUUGCUGACGUCGUUAGAAUUCGCCUCUGAACAGGUUAGAGUGUGAGCAAAUUCGUUAAGGAUGUUGACGUAAUGGCUUUAAACGAC
rnacentral:rRNA from 2 species